GGAUGGGCUGUAGAUCAGGGGCAGGGUUGCAUCAGCCUUGCAUGCACAAGGUCGUGGGUUCAAUCCCCAGCCCUGUCCG